UCGAUGCCGGUGAAGAUCUUGCAGGGGAACCCAAAACUUAAACAGCCAAUGCAUAAUCAUCGAGUUUCAUCGAAUACGCGGGAAGACUUAACAGUAAUUUCACCGCCUAGUAUGCCGGUAAUACACCACUUCGAAGAGCGCUUGUGAAUCUUGGGAAGGUAAAGUUGUUAACUGUACAUCCGUACACUAAAAUGAUCCUGAAAACGCGUAUCAAAGUAUCCCACCUUCCACCUUCGAUAAUGGAGGAGACCGUGACAAGAUCAUCCGUUCACUCUAGGUACUAUUAGACGAAUAUUGUUCUUGACUGCUAUUAAUGAAUUCCUCAAUUAUUUUGAGAAAAUAUAUAAAUAAUCUUAAAAGAUCGUACACUCAGGAAAAUCGACACAUACUUUAUGGCAAAAAUCCAUGUAUUUUGAAAUAUGCAUAUCAUGUGUCGGCACAUACUUAAUUGCAUUUAAAUACACACAUGGAUACUAUGACCCACAUGGAUAGUAUGUGUAAACACUCAUGCAAUGCAUGUGGGCGCAUGGAAUAUAUGUGUCGAAACUAUGGAAUCCAUUUCGCUACCCCCAUUGCAAAAAUCCAUGUGUGAACUCAUGAAUAUAAUGCGGACUUUUCUGUGAGUGUAGAGAAGCUAUA